UUGGAUGUGAGCGUCUGUAAGCGUAGCUUUCUAUUUCAUUUAGGUGAUAUUAAGUUUAUUUCUUUAUUUAUUUACUGCUACACUAUAUUGUUGAUAUGAUUUCUUAUAGAAGGAAUAGUACAGACAAAUGAUAUAAUUUGUCAUCGUCGAUAUCAGAAUACUGGAUAGCAUAGGCUACUCGUGGUGGAGAGGCAUAUUAGAGCUCAGUGAGAGCCCAUAACAUUAUACAGCAGUGUUGUCUUGAUUUAAUUGGGAUUUGAGCAACUUUUCCACAAACAAAAUUCUGAUGCUGACACAGAGGAUGGAGUGAUAAUACCAGAGAUCAGCUGUCUCCAUCAGACAAUAAUGUUACUUUGUUCAGACAUAUCACCUUUGAAUGACUGGGAUCCUUAUCUUCAGACACCUGUUGUAUUUUAUUUUAAUAUUAUAAAAUAGCAAAUAUUUUAAUUUCUUUGGAGCUCUAGAUUAAAACAAACACAGUACACAAGAGGUUGCAGUUUAUUCUUAUUAGUCUCUGCUGAUCAUGGAUUAGCAUACCAACAGCAUAUGAAUGGAAUAGUUCAUCCAAAAAUAAAAUUGUCACUUAUUUUACUCACCCUCAUGCUGUCCCAGAUGCAUUUUACUUUCUUUCUACAGAUAAAUACGAAUUAAGAUUUUAAGGAAAGUAAUCCAUCUCUGCAAGCCCUAAAGAUGCUUUAAAAACCACACACAGUGACCGUGAUGUCCAUGUGACCUCAGUGGAUGAAUCAAUACUGAAGUGAAACAAUAGAAUAAAAAAAAA